rnacentral:lncRNA from 1 species
CGAGAACUGUGCAAACUCUGCCGUUUAUAUCGACCACUGAUAAAAAGCAGCCUAAGACUAGUGGGCUUUCUAUUUUCCAAUGGAUGACAGGGAAUCAAGUCCCCAAACCUGAGAGAGCAGUGCGAGAGCGAGGGAGUGAGCGCGAAAGUGAGCGCGCCCUCGAGAGCGCCCAGACGAAGCGGGGAAGGAGAGGUAAGAGCCUGGAGCCAGGAGCUGCAGCAGGCAGGUAAAACAAAAAUCUAGUUCCUGUAACUAAUGAAAACAACAGUCGUAUUACUAUAAGUCCAGGGGAAGUGAUUCUCUGACGGAAGUCUGAUGGUGAUUCUAUUUGUCCUGUUUUGUUUUGUUUUCCGGACUAUCAAAAAAGUUCUUUUGAAAUUCAGCCAAAUGUUUUGACUGAGAGACCAAAAACGGGUCGAUGCCAUUUCCUGCUGUAACGCCCUGGCUUUGGCGGGGCUCAGCGUCCAGCGCUCCCGGAGACGCGCGCCGCCCGCGUGGAGCUGCUCAAAAAAGAUGCUCCCCUGGACCCUCAGGCAAGACAGACUUCGGCCUGUGGGACUGCUAGGGUUCCGGGACCUGACGAUAUUGUCUUCUUUUGGAGGAAGGUGCCUUCAGUUUUGUUCUGGGAAAUGGGUGCAAUGCUCCCUAAGAUCUAUCAAGAUUCCCAGUCGCUGGACGAACUUGGAAACUCUGGUGCGAGGGAAGGAGGAGACCGGACUACUCUCAGAGAAAACUUUCCACAUUGGACUCAUUUAGGAUCAACACAUUUUUAAACACUUGCCUAAAUUCACAAAUACUGGUACAACAAAGAUGUUGUUACACAGAAUAAAGUGUUUAUCAAGGUAAGAUACGGCUUUUCGGGCGCUUGGCUGCUAAAGUGACAGCAGCUCGCAGGCCGAUCUGCCAGUGUUGUUUCCCUGGGAAAGGGAUAGGGGGGCGGGGCAAAGCAAGGACACAAUUAAGAUGAGCAGACUGACAAAAAGGCUGGUCCCUGAGGGGUACUUGUGGGCUGUUACCUUCAUCUUGUGAAGAUGUCUUCCCUUAACUGAAAAAGUCUGCGGCCAGUGAGGCCGCCCACGCG